AUUGAACGCUGGCGGCAUGCCUAACACAUGCAAGUCGAACGGCAGCACGGCAGUAGCAAUACUGUGGGUGGCGAGUGGCGGACGGGUGAGGAAUACGUCGGAAUCUGCCCAGUCGUGGGGGAUAACUAGCCGAAAGGUUAGCUAAUACCGCAUACGACCGAGAGGUGAAAGCGGGGGACCGCAAGGCCUCGCGCGAUUGGAUGAGCCGACGUCGGAUUAGCUAGUUGGAGGGGUAAAGGCCCACCAAGGCGACGAUCCGUAGCUGGUCUGAGAGGAUGAUCAGCCACACUGGAACUGAGACACGGUCCAGACUCCUACGGGAGGCAGCAGUGGGGAAUGUUGGACAAUGGGCGCAAGCCUGAUCCAGCAAUGCCGCGUGUGUGAAGAAGGCC
rnacentral:rRNA from 1 species